AUUGAACGCUGGCGGCAGGCCUAACACAUGCAAGUCGAACGAGUGGCGGACGGGUGAGUAAUGUAUGGGACACUGCCUGAUGGAGGGGGAUAACUACUGGAAACGGUAGCUAAUACCGCAUACCAUCAGAUGUGCCCAUAUGGGAUUAGCUUGUGGGUGGGGUAAAGGCUCACCUAGGCGACGAUCCCUAGCUGGUCUGAGAGGAUGACCAGCCACACGGGAACUGAGACACGGCCCAGACUCCUACGGGAGGCAGCAGUGGGGAAUAUUGCACAAUGGGCGCAAGCCUGAUGCAGACAGGCCGCGUGUAUGAAGAAGGCCGUCGGGUUGUAAAGUACUUUCAGCGGGGAGGCGUUACCCGCAGAAGAAGCACCGGCUAACUCCGUGCCAGCAGCCGCGGUAAUUC
rnacentral:rRNA from 1 species